AACUUUCAACAACGGAUCUCUUGGUUCUGGCAUCGAUGAAGAACGCAGCGAAAUGCGAUAAUUAAUGUGAAUUGCAGAAUUUAGUGAAUCAUCGAAUCUUUGAACGCACAUUGCGCCCCUUGGUAUUCCGGGGGGCAUGCCUGUUCGAGCGUCAUUUC
rnacentral:rRNA from 1 species